rnacentral:tRNA from 1 species
UCUUAGUUGGUAAAGAAUCUGCCUGCAAUGCAGGAGACCUGGGUUUGAUUCCUGG